rnacentral:rRNA from 1 species
UACAGAGGUCUCAAGCGUUGUUCGGAUUCAUUGGGCGUAAAGGGUGCGUAGGUGGCGUCGUAAGUCGGGUGUGAAAUUUCGGAGCUUAACUCCGAAACUGCAUUCGAUACUGCCGUGCUUGAGGACUGGAGAGGAGACUGGAAUUUACGGUGUAGCGGUGAAAUGCGUAGAUAUCGUAAGGAAGACCAGUGGCGAAGGCGGGUCUCUGGACAGUUCCUGGCGCUGAGGCACGAAGGCCAGGGGAGCAAACGGG